rnacentral:rRNA from 1 species
GAUGUUGGCUUAGAAGCAGCCACACAUUCAAAGAGUGCGUAAUAGCUCACUGGUCGAGAGGUCCCGCGCCGAAAAUUACCGGGGCUAAAACAUAAUACCGAAGCUUUGGAUUAUACUGUAGAGUAUAGUGGUAGGAGAGCAUCGUAUACAGUAAGAAGCAGAAUCGAAAGAAAAAGUGGACCGUAUACGAGAGAGAAUGUUGGCAUGAGUAGCGAGAGGAAGGUGAGAAUCCUUCCGGCCGAAAACCUAAGGUUUCCUGAGGAAGGUUCGUCCGCUCAGGGUAAGUCGGGACCUAAGCCAAGGCCGAAAGGCGUAGGUGAUGGACAACGGGUAAUAAAUCCCGUACCACCGUAGUUGAUUGAGCGAAGGGGGGACGCAGGAGGAUGACCGGAGCACGCCGUUGGUAGAGCGUGUCCAAGCAGAAAGCGAGUAAGACCAGGCAAAUCCGGUAAUACAAUCGUAAUCUGUGAUGGGGAGUGAAAAUAAAGUAGCGAAGCCGAAUCAUUCAAACUGCCAGGAAAAGCCUCUAGCAAGACCAAGGUGCCCGUACCGCAAACCGACACAGGUAGGUGAGGAGAGAAUCCUAAGGCCAGCGAGAGAACUGUUGUUAAGGAACUCGGCAAAAUAACCCCGUAACCUAGGGAGAAGGGGAGCCUGCGAGAGCAGGCCGCAGAGAAUAGGCCCAAGCGACUGUUUACCAAAAACAUAGGUUUCUGCAAAACUGCAAAGUGAAGUAUAGGAGCUGACGCCUGCCCGGUGCUGGAAGGUUAAGGGGAAGACUUAGAGCAAUCGAAGGUUCGAACUUAAGCCCCAGUAAACGGCGGCCGUAACUAUAACGGUCCUAAGGUAGCGAAAUUCCUUGUCGGGUAAGUUCCGACCCGCACGAAAGGCGUAACGAUUUGGGCACUGUCUCAACAACAGACUCGGUGAAAUUGUAAUCCCGGUGAAGAUGCCGGGUACCUGCGACAGGACGGAAAGACCCCAUGGAGCUUUACUGUAGCUUGACAUUGGGUUUCGAUACUACAUGUACAGGAUAGGUGGGAGACUAAGAAAUCAGGGCGUCAGUUUUGAUGGAGUCACCCUUGGGAUACCACCCUUGUAGUAUUGGGACUCUAACCAUAGGCCAUGAAUCUGGUCUUGGGACACUGUCUGGUGGGCAGUUUGACUGGGGCGGUCGCCUCCCAAAAGGUAACGGAGGCGCUCAAAGGUUCCCUCAGUACGGUCGGAAAUCGUACGAAGAGUGUAAAGGCAAAAGGGAGCUUGAUUGCAAGACAUACAGGUCGAGCAAGGUAGAAAUACGGACUUAGUGAUCCGGUGGUUCUGAGUGGAAGGGCCAUCGCUCAACGGAUAAAAGCUACCCUGGGGAUAACAGGCUUAUCU